AGAUGGUGAGACUCUGGGUUGGAAGGAAUUUGAGUGUCUGAGGGCUUCAUGGAACCAAACUGCCAGAACAAAGACACGUUACUGUGAUGCAAGGUGUGAAAGUUGCUGAUGUUUACAGGAAACCGAUUGGAACAAGAUAUCAACACAGACUGAGGCAACCACAGACAAGACUGUAUGCUGAGAUGGAAGACCCAAAAGAUUGAAGCAGCCUGGAUAACUCGGGUACCACACAGAGGACAACUGCCCUAGAGAGUUGCCUUGACCCACAAAAGACAUUGCAUGAGAUGGAAAUAAACUUUUAUUGUGUCAAACCUUUGAGAUUUGGGGCUUGUUACUGCAGCAUGACUUAGCC
rnacentral:lncRNA from 1 species